AUUGCUGAUUGCAGAUCCUUCUUCACGGGGCAUCUACCUGAGGGAGGCUAGUGCUUUCCAACAAUCUACUGAGUGGACAGUGGAAGUUGAUCCAAAAUUUCAUGAGGAUGCCAACAAAAUUGAAGAAUUGGCUGUGUUUGAGGAGCACAUUGAAUUACAUUCUACAGAUAGCUCAGUUGUGAAAGCCCCUGAUUAUCUACUGCUCACUAAGAAUGGUCGUACCUUCAACAACAUUUGGAUUGACUCUGAGUAUGCACCAUAUGAAACCUCG